ensembl:misc_RNA Metazoa_SRP Metazoan signal recognition particle RNA
GCCAGGUGUGGUGGCGCACACCUGUUUUCCCAGCUACUCGGGAGGCUGAGGCAGGAAGAUGACUUGAGCCCAGGAGUUCGAGGCUGCAGUGAACUAUGUUUGUGCCACUGCACUCCAGCCUGGGCAAUAGAGUGGGACCCUGUCUCGA